rnacentral:rRNA from 1 species
AGCGGAGGAAAAGAAACUAACAAGGAUUCCCUUAGUAACGGCGAGCGAAACGGGAAUAGCCCAACUUGAAAAUCUCCCUUUGGAGAAUUGUAGUCUAUAGAAGCGCCCUCAUGGGCUGGCAGAGCUCAAGUCGGAUCGAAUGCCGCGUCAGAGAGGGUGAUAACCCCGUCGGCUCUGUCCUAGUCCUUCCACGAGGUGCUUUCCACGAGUCGGGUUGUUUGGGAAUGCAGCCCUAAUUUGGAGGUAAAUCCCUUCUAAGGCUAAAUACUGCCGAGAGACCGAUAGCGAACAAGUACCGUGAGGGAAAGAUGAAAAGAACUUUGAAAAGAGAGUUAAAAGUGCUUGAAAUUGUUGAGAGGGAAGCGAUUGGCGCUUGUGGGUGCGCCCAGGCUUAAGUGGUCCUAACGGCCCAUUGAAUGUGCUGGGCGCUGGUCAGAGUGGGUUGAUUUGGCGGGAUAAAAGUCGGGUCCACCAAGGUAACCCGGCCGAUGCCGCCGAAUCGACCAAGGCGUGAAGAGUGCUCUGUCCUUCGGGAUCUGCAUUCUAAAGACUCUGGCAGAAGAGCGUCAAUCGACCCGUCUUGAAACACGGACCGAGGAGUUCAACAUGUAUGCGAGUUGGCGAGUGGAAAACUCGUAAGCGCAAGUAACCUGACUGGUGGGAUGGCCUGUGCCUGCACCAUCGACCGACCAUGUUGCUUUUGCGAAAGGUUUGAGUGCGAGCAUACCUGUUGAGACCCGAAAGAUGGUGAACUAUGCCUGAGCAGGGUGAAGCCAGGGGAAACUCUGGUGGAGGCUCGUAGAUGUGCUGACGUGCAAAUCGCUUUUCAGACUUGGGUAUAGGGGCGAAAGACUAAUCGAACCUUCUAGUA